GAUGAACGUUGGCGGCGUGCCUAACACAUGCAAGUCGAACGGCAAUAGCAAUAUUGGAGUGGCGCACGGGUGAGUAACACGUAGCUAAUCUACCUCAAAGCGCGGGAUAACGUGUCGAAAGACAGGCUAAUACCGCAUAAGCUCGCGAUCUGUAGAGGGUUGCGAGAAAAGGCUUAGGUCACUUUGAGAUGAGGCUGCGGCCCAUCAGCUAGUUGGGGUGGUAAAAGCACACCAAGGCAACGACGGGUAGGGGACCUGAGAGGGUGACCCCCCACACUGGGACUGAGACACGGCCCAGACUCCUACGGGUGGCUG
rnacentral:rRNA from 1 species